rnacentral:lncRNA from 1 species
GGUGCAUGCCACCAUGCCUGGCUAGGCUUGUGAAAUUUCUAUACAACAACCUCAUUUCUCUGUUUCUUACAUUCUAAACUCCCACGAACAUUUCAGAAUGGAUGGGUAUAUCAUACCUUAUUUAACCAGCAUCCUAUUGUUGGACUGUUAGGUUUUUCUAUCAAAAAUAACCCUGUGAUGAGCCUCUUGAAAUUGCUGUCUUUGCAUGGAUCCACUAUAUUUCCUUUGGAUAAUUCCAAAAACGAACAAUGGAAUUGCAUAUUCCAAAUCCAGAACAGUCUCAGCAUGGCUGCCGUUUUCUCGUUUCUUUGUGAAGCAUCCCGGUCCAGGCUGCCAGCCUCACGUUAUUUGAUUGUUUUCGGAACAGCCGGCAGGGGGCGCGCAUCAGCCGUUCCCAGCACUCAGGCGAGGGGUUCUGACUCCCCAGGUUAAAAGAAUUCGAGGCAGCAUUCUUCCUGAAGGCCUUUUGUUAUUAGUUUGCUUCUCAAAGUCAUCUUCCGAAUCCUGCUGUGCUAAGCAUCACCCCAGCUCAGCCCAGUUAUGAAUUUCAUUGCUGAGCUCUGAGCCCAGGUUGUCUGGCAGCAUUUCUGAUUGUAAUCAGUUUUGUGCAGUGAGAUCACCUUGCUGACCACGAGCGGUGGCUCCCAGCACUGCAAAGAUAUGUGUGGGGCCGGCCUGCUUUUGUGACUGCAGCAUUCACCCUUCAGGGGACAGACAGCGGCUCUUGCUGUCUCAAUGCCACUGGAAGAACUCCAAAGGGUGCCUGGAGGACCAGCUUGGACUUUCAGUUCUGUUGCUUACGAGUGUGUGACCUUGGACAUGUUGUGCGUCUCUCUGCCUCUCGGUUCUGUGACCUGGGCAUAGUUAACACCUGCUUUUGAGGUCUUGUGAGGAAUAAAUGAGACAUUUUAUUGAAACAGC